AUACUUACCUGGCAGGAAAGCUACCAUGAUCACAAAGGUGGUUUUCCCAGGGCAAAGCCUUACCCAUUGCACUCUAGAUGUGCUGACCCCUGCGGUUUCCCCACAUGUGGGAAACUCCACUGUAUAAUUUGUGGUAGCCGGGGAAUGCAUUUGCACUUUCCCUGU
ensembl:snRNA U1 U1 spliceosomal RNA